AUUGAACGCUGGCGGCAGGCCUAACACAUGCAAGUCGAGCGGAUGAAGGGAGCUUGCUCCUGGAUUCAGCGGCGGACGGGUGAGUAAUGCCUAGGAAUCUGCCUGGUAGUGGGGGAUAACGUCCGGAAACGGGCGCUAAUACCGCAUACGUCCUGAGGGAGAAAGUGGGGGAUCUUCGGACCUCACGCUAUCAGAUGAGCCUAGGUCGGAUUAGCUAGUUGGUGGGGUAAAGGCCUACCAAGGCGACGAUCCGUAACUGGUCUGAGAGGAUGAUCAGUCACACAGUGACAGAGAGACGGGCCACACACCUACGCGAGGGGGAGGUGGGGAAAAUUGUGCACUAGGCGAGAGCCUGUUCCCGCGACACGGCGUGUGUGAAGAAGGUCUUCGGAUUGUAAAGCACUUUAAGUUGGGAGGAAGGGCAGUAAGUUAAUACCUUGCUGUUUUGACGUUACCAACAGAAUAAGCACCGGCUAACUUCGUG
rnacentral:rRNA from 1 species